rnacentral:lncRNA from 1 species
GAGCGGGAGUAAACUUCUGCGAAAGGGCUAUAAUAGCAGGGAUAGGAAAUUGGUUUUAAGUUAAAAGAGGAAGAUUUAGUUGGAUGUUAGGGGAAAGUUCUUUACUAGAAGAGUGGUUAGGUCCGGUGGAACAGGCUGGCACAGUGCUGCCCAGUGAGGUUGUGGAUGCCCCGUCCUUGGAGGUGUUCAAGACCAGGUUGGACGGGGCCCUGGGCAACCUGAUCUAGUAAAGGCAUAUGUUUGGUGGCCCUGCUAGGCAGGGGGGUUGGAACUACAUGAUCCUUGAGGUCCCUUCCAACCCGGGUAAUUCUGUGAUUCUGUGACUGUGUAUGGGAUGAAAACACCCUCUGACCAUACACUGCUUUUCUCUUUCUUUGCCAGAGAACCACUGUGAAGAGAUGGAUUCAAUUGUUGCAGUUCUGAAGAAACACACUGCAGAACUGGAGGUCCACAGUUCUGAAAUGGAGAGAAGGGAUGAAAUGUUGGAGGAACAAGUUGCAAAACUGGUGGAACAAACUGAAGCAUUUCAAAAACCAUCCAGAAGAGGACUGGAAGAUGAGCCGUGCCACACAGUAACCAUAGGAGAUGAGCUUCAUGGACCACAGAUUGCACAGGAUACCAAACCCACGAUAAGUCCAAGCCAGCAAGGAAACCCACAGCAGGACCAAGAGGAGCCAGUGUCUGUAUUGAGUGAGAACCCUGCAGUUCUGUGAGCCAAAGCUGACCAAGGGGGCACCGAGCUGAGGAUGUGCGACCUCCAACUCAAAUCCAAUUGCAAGAGAAUAACCAUAGUAAGAAAUGGUAACAGGAUGAAGCCAGAGAGCCUGGAUAAGAUACGGUCACAUUCGGAAAUAAUUUGGCCAUGUAUCAGGGUUUGUGGACAUGUAAGCAAUAUCUAACACUUUUGGAUACAUAAGAAUGCACUGAGGUAGAGAACUGCUUUGGGUGCUAACACCAUUCUCUAUUGUAAUAUAAUAAACGAUACCUGCUGGUGGUUGUCA